rnacentral:sRNA from 1 species
UCGACAUGUGUGCAUUCGGCAGGAGUGGAGGACCCAGCAAGGCGGGCCGUCCGGGAGACCGGCGGUCCUUGGGGUGAAGCCGUGGCGCGACGGAGCGACGUCGUGACACGACCGGGCAUCUUCGCCUGCCCGAACCCGACAGGUCAUCCUUCACAGGCGGCUGACGAAGGGUUG